AGCGUUGUGGCGCAGCUGGAAGCGCGCAGGGCUCAUAUUUUCCGGAGUGUGUGACCCUGAGGUCGUGCGAUCGAGACGCACCGACGCUA